rnacentral:rRNA from 1 species
CUUGACGAUCAUAGAGGCGUUGAACCACCUGAUCCCAUCCCGAACUCAGAAGUGAAAAGCGCCAUCGCCGAUGGUAGUGUGGG